rnacentral:rRNA from 1 species
CCUACGGGCGGCAGCAGUGGGGGAUAUUGCACAAUGGGGGAAACCCUGAUGCAGCGACGCCGCGUGAGUGACGAAGUCUUUCUGUAUGUAAAGCUCUAUCAGCAGGGAAGAAACUGACAGUACCUGACCAAGAAGCCCCGGCUAACUACGUGCCAGCAGCCGCGGUACUACGUAGGGGGCCAGCGUUAUCCGGAUUUACUGGGUGUAAAGGGAGCGUAGACGGUUAUGUAAGUCUGGAGUGAAAGCCCGGGGCCCAACCCCGGGACUGCUUUGGAAACUGUGUAACUGGAGUACAGGAGGGGCAGGCGGAAUUCCUGGUGUAGCGGUGAAAGGCGUAGAUAUCAGGAGGAACACCGGCGGCGAAGGCGGCCUGCUGGACUGAAACUGACGUUGAGGCUCGAAAGCGUGGGGAGCAAACAGGAUUAGAUACCCUGGUAGUC